ACCUGCCCAUUGAGAUUUAAAAGGCCGCGGUAUUNUGACCGUGNUAAGGUAGNAUAAUCAUUAGUCUUUUAAUUGAAGGCUGGUAUGAAUGGUUNGACAAGAGAUAAGNUNUNUNGAGCAAAAAUNUUGAANUUAANUUUUAAGUGAAAAGGCUUAAAUUUCCUGGGGGGACGAUAAGACCCUAUAAAACUUUAUAUUUUAAAAAUAUUAAUUAAUUUUGUAUAAGAAGGUUAUUUUUAAGUAUUUUAUUGGGGUGAUAGGGAUAUAAUAAAAGAUAACUGUUUCUUUUUUUUUACAGAGGUGUUUGAGUAAAGGAUCCUAAUAAGGGAAAGAAGGUUAAGUUACUUUAGGGAUAACAGCGUAAUUUUCUUUAAGAGUUCUUAUCGACAAGAAAGUUUGCAACCUCGAUGUUGAAUUAAAAGUUCUUUAUGGANCAAAAACUAUAAUAAAAGGUCUGUUCAACCUUUAAAAUUUUACAUGAUUUGAGUUCAGACCGGUGNAAACCAGGUUGG
rnacentral:rRNA from 1 species